rnacentral:rRNA from 1 species
UACAGAGGUCUCAAGCGUUGUUCGGAUUCAUUGGGCGUAAAGGGUGCGUAGGUGGCGCUGUAAGUCGGGUGUGAAAUUUCGGAGCUUAACUCCGAAACUGCAUUCGAUACUGCGGUGCUUGAGGACUGGAGAGGAGACUGGAAUUCAUGGUGUAGCAGUGAAAUGCGUAGAGAUCAUGAGGAAGACCAGUGGCGAAGGCGGGUCUCUGGACAGUUCCUGACACUGAGGCACGAAGGCCAGGGGGAGCAAAACGGGG